rnacentral:rRNA from 1 species
GACGAACGCUGGCGGCGUGCCUAAUACAUGCAAGUCGAACGAGAGCAACCGGUGCUUGCCCUGGUCAAUCUAGUGGCGAACGGGUGGGUAACACGUGGGUAACCUGCCCAUCAGAGGGGGAUAACAUCCGGAAACGGAUGCUAAAACCGCAUAGGUCUUCGAACCGCAUGGUUUGAAGAGGAAAAGAGGCGCAAGCUUCUGCUGAUGGAUGGACCCGCGGUGCAUUAGAUAGUUGGUGAGGUAACGGCUCACCAAGGCCGUGAUGCAUAGCCGACCUGAGAGGGUGAUCGGCCACAUUGGGACUGAGACACGGCCCAAACUCCUACGGGAGGCAGCAGUAGGGAAUCUUCCGCAAUGGACGCAAGUCUGACGGAGCAACGCCGCGUGAGUGAAGAAGGUUUUCGGAUCGUAAAACUCUGUUGUUAGAGAAGAACAAGUGCUAGAGUAACUGUUAGCGCCUUGACGGUAUCUAACCAGAAAGCCACGGCUAACUACGUG